AUUGAACGCUGGCGGCGUGCCUAACACAUGCAAGUCGAGCGGUAACAGGCGUAGCAAUACGUGCUGACGAGCGGCGAACGGGUGCGUAAUACAUGGGAAUCUGCCCUCUGGUGGGGAAUAACCCGGCGAAAGCCGGGCUAAUGCCGCAUAAGAUCCUCGGAUGAAAGCGGGGGACCGUAAGGCCUCGCGCCGUUGGAUGAGCCCAUGUCGGAUUAGCUAGUUGGUGGGGUAACGGCCCACCAAGGCGACGAUCCGUAGCUGGUCUGAGAGGACGGCCAGCCACACUGGGACUGAGACACGGCCCAGACUCCUACGGGAGGCAGCAGUGGGGAAUAUUGGACAAUGGGCGAAAGCCUGAUCCAGCGACGCCGCGUGUGUGAAGAAGGCCUGCGGGUUGUAAAGCACUUUCGGUGGGAACGAAAUGUGUCGGGCUAACACCCCGGCAAGCUGACGUUACUCAAUGAAGAAGCACCGGCUAACUCUGUGCCAGCAGCC
rnacentral:rRNA from 1 species